rnacentral:rRNA from 1 species
CGCGGGCGCAGGAAAUUUGAGAGGAGCUGUCCUUAGUACGAGAGGACCGGGAUGGACGCACCGCUGGUGUACCAGUUGUUCUGCCAAGGGCAUCGCUGGGUAGCUAUGUGCGGACGGGAUAAGUGCUGAAAGCAUCUAAGCAUGAAGCCCCCCUCAAGAUGAGAUUUCCCAUUCCGCAAGGAAGUAAGAUCCCUGAAAGAUGAUCAGGUUGAUAGGUCUGAGGUGGAAGUGUGGCGACACAUGGAGCUGACAGAUACUAAUCGAUCGAGGACUUAACCACAUUU